rnacentral:rRNA from 1 species
UACGUAGGGGGCAAGCGUUGUCCGGACUUACUGGGCGUAAAGGGCGUGCAGGCGGUCGACUAAGUCUGGCGUGAAAGCUCGCGGCUAAACCGCGAGAGGUCGUUGGAUACUGGUUGACUAGAGGACGGUAGAGGCGUGUGGAAUUCCGGGUGUAGUGGUGAAAUGCGUAGAGAUCCGGAGGAACACCAGUGGCGAAGGCGACACGCUGGGCCGUACCUGACGCUAAAACGCGACAGCAUGGGGAGCGAACGGG